UCCAGGUGCUGCAUGGCUGUCGUCAGCUCGUGUCGUGAGAUGUUGGGUUAAGUCCCGCAACGAGCGCAACCCUUAUCCUUAGUUGCCAUCAUUUAGUUGGGCACUCAAAGGAGACUGCCGGGGUCAACCCGGAGGAAGGUGGGGAUGACGUCAAGUCCUCAUGGCCCUUAUGUCCUGGGCUACACACGUGCUACAAUGGUCGGUACAAAGCGCAGCGAACCCGCAAGAUGGAGCAAAUCCCAAAAAGCCGACCUCAGUUCGGAUUGCACUCUGCAACUCGAGUUCAUGAAGUCGGAAUUGCUAGUAAUCCUCGAUCAGCAGGCCGCGGUGAAUACGUUCCCGGGCCUUGUACACACCGCCCGUCACACCAUGGGAGUUGAGUGCUCCAGAAGUGGCCACGCUAACCCGCAAGGGAGGCAGGUCCCCAAGGAGUGUUCGGUAACUGGGGUGAAGUCGUAACAAGGUAAA
rnacentral:rRNA from 1 species